GUCGGAAUCGCUAGUAAUCGCAGAUCAGCAUGUUGCGGUGAAUACGUUCCCGGGCCUUGUACACACCGCCCGUCACACCAUGAGAGUUGGGAACACCCGAAGUCCGUAGCCUAACCGCAAGGGGGCGCGGCCGAAGGUGGGUUCAAUAAUUGGGGUGAAGUCGUAACAAGGUACC
rnacentral:rRNA from 1 species